rnacentral:rRNA from 1 species
GACGAACGCUGGCGGCGUGCUUAACACAUGCAAGUCGAACGGAAAGGCCCUGCUUUUGUGGGGUGCUCGAGUGGCGAACGGGUGAGUAACACGUGGGUAACCUGCCCUUGACUUUGGGAUAACUUCAGGAAACUGGGGCUAAUACCGGAUAGGAGCUCCUGCUGCAUGGUGGGGGUUGGAAAGUUUCGGCGGUUGGGGAUGGACUCGCGGCUUAUCAGCUUGUUGGUGGGGUAGUGGCUUACCAAGGCUUUGACGGGUAGCCGGCCUGAGAGGGUGACCGGCCACAUUGGGACUGAGAUACGGCCCAGACUCCUACGGGAGGCAGCAGUGGGGAAUAUUGCACAAUGGGCGGAAGCCUGAUGCAGCAACGCCGCGUGCGGGAUGACGGCCUUCGGGUUGUAAACCGCUUUCGCCUGUGACGAAGCGUGAGUGACGGUAGUGGGUAAAGAAGCACCGGCUAACUACGUG